AUGGGCUCGAUAAAGGACAAAAAUGGUAUGGACCUAACAGAAGCAGAAGAUAUUAAGAAGAGGUGGCAAGAAUACACAGAAGAACUGCACAAAAAAGAUCUUCACAACCCAGAUAAUCACGAUGGUGUGGUCACUCAUCUAGAGCCAGACAUUCUGGAAUGUGAAGUCAAGUGGGCCUUAGAAAGCAUCAUUACAAACAAAGCUAGUGGAGGUAAUAGAAUUCCAGUUGAGCUCUUUCAAAUCCUGAAAGAUGAUGCUGUGAAAGUGCUGCACUCAAUAUGCCAGCACAUUUGGAAAACUCAGCAGUGGCCACAGGACUGGAAAAGGUCAGUUUUUAUUCCAUUUCCAAAGAAAGGUGAUGCCAAAGAAUGCUCAAACUACUUCACAAUUGCACUCAGCUCACAUGCUAGUAAAGUAAUGCUCAAAAUUCUCCAAGCCAGGCUUCAGCAAUAUGUGAACUGUGAACUCACUGAUGUUCAAGCUGGUUUUACAAAAGACAGAGGAACUAGAGAUCAAAUUGCCAACAUCCACUGGAUCAUAGAAAAAACAAACAUCUAUUUCUGCUAUAUUGACUAUACCAAAGCCUUUGACUGUGUGGAUCACAAUAAACUGUGGAAAAUUCUGAAAGAGAUGGGAAUACCAGACCAACUGAUCUGCCUCUUGAGAAAUCUGUAUGCAGGUCAGGAAGCAACAGUUAGAACUGGACAUGGAACAACAGACUGGUUCCAAAUAGGAAAAGGAGUACAUCAAGGCUGUAUGUGGUCACUCUGCUUAUUUAACUUAUAUGCAGAGUACAUCAUGAGAAACGCUGUGCUGGAAGAAGGACAAGCUGGCAUCAAGAUUGCCGGGAGAAAUAUCAAUAACUUCAGAUAUGCAGAUGACACCACCCUUAUGGCAGAAAGUGAAGAGGAACUAAAAAGCCUCUUGAUGAAAGUGAAAGAGGAGAGUAAAAAAGUUAGCUUGAAGCUCAACAUUCAGAAAACUAAGAUCAUGGCAUCCGGUCCCAUCACUUCAUGGGAAAUAGAUAGGGAAACAGUGGAAACAGUGUCAGACUUUAUUUUUUGGGGCUCCAAAAUCACUGCAGAUGGUGAUGGCAGCCAUGAAAUUAACAGAUGCUUACUCCUUGGAAGGAACGUUAUGACCAACCUAGAUAGUAUAUUCAAAAGCAGAGACAUUACUUUGCCAACAAAGGUCCAUCUAGUCAAGGCUAUGGUUUUUCCAGUAGUCAAGUAUGGAUGUGAGAGUUUGACUGUGAAGAAAGCUGAGCGCCAAAGAAUUGGUGCUUUUGAACUGUGGUGUUGGAGAAGACUCUUGAGAGUCCCUUGGACUACAAGGACAUCCAACCAGUCCAUUCUAAAUGAGGUCAGUCCUGGAUGUUUAUUGGAAGGCCUGAUGCUAAAGCUAAAACUCCAAUACUUUGGCCACCUGAUGCAAAGAGUUGACUCAUUGGAAAAGACCCUGAUUCUGGGAGGGAUUGGGGGCAGCAGGGGCAGGGGAUGA
rnacentral:lncRNA from 1 species